UUUAUCUUGGCAGAAAAGUGCAUUAAAUUUAGAGUUUAAAAUUUAUGUAUAUGAAUAUAUACAGAUAAUA
rnacentral:tRNA from 1 species